CCUACGGGAGGCAGCAGUGGGGAAUAUUGCACAAUGGGGGAAACCCUGAUGCAGCGACGCCGCGUGAGUGAAGAAGUAUUUCGGUACGUAAAGCUCUAUCAGCAGGGACGAACAUGACGGUACCUGACUAAGAAGCCCCGGCGAACUACGUGCAAGCAGCCGCGGUAAUACGGAGGGGGCAAGCGUUAUACGGAUUUACUGGGUGUAAAGGGAGCGUAGACGGCAGCGCAAGUCUGGAGUGAAAUCCCAUGGCUUAACCAUGGAACUGCUUUGGAAACUGUGCAGCUAGAGUGCAGGAGAGGUAAGCGGAAUUCCUAGUGUAGCGGUGAAAUGCGUAGAUAUUAGGAGGAACACCAGUGGCGAAGGCGGCUUACUGGACUGUAACUGACGUUGAGGCUCGAAAGCGUGGGGAGCAAACAGGAUUAGAUACCCGGGUAGUC
rnacentral:rRNA from 1 species